GCUUGAGCAUGCCGGUGGGCUCCCACUUGACUGGCAGUCAAGGGGUCAGGGGUUCGAAUCCCCUCAGCUCCA
rnacentral:tRNA from 1 species